GCAUAUCAAUAAGCGGAGGAAAAGAAACCAACAGGGAUUGCCCUUMGUAACGGCGAAGUGAAGCGGCAACAGCUCAAAUUUGAAAUCUGGCCUCGGCCCGAGUUGUAAUUUGCAGAGGAUGCUUCUGGCGCGGUGCCUUCCGAGUUCCCUGGAACGGGACGCCACAGAGGGUGAGAGCCCCGUAUGGUCGGACACCAAGCCUGUGUGAAGCUCCUUCGACGAGUCGAGUAGUUUGGGAAUGCUGCUCUAAAUGGGAGGUAAAUCUCUUCUAAAGCUAAAUACCGGCCAGAGACCGAUAGCGCACAAGUAGAGUGAUCGAAAGAUGAAAAGCACCUUGAAAAGGGGGUUAAAUAGUACGUGAAAUUGUUGAAAGGGAAGCACUUGUGACCAGACUUGGGCCGGGCGGCUCAUCAGGGGUUCUCCCCUGUGCACUCCGCCCGGCACAGGCCAGCAUCGGUUCUCGCGGGGGGAUAAGACCGCCGGGAACGUAGCACCCUCCGGGGUGUGUUAUAGCCCGGCGGACGAUACCCCCGCGGGGACCGAGGUCCGCGCUCCGCAAGGAUGCUGGCGUAAUGGUCACCAGUGACCCGUCUUGAAACACGGACCAAGGAGUCGUCCAUUAGAGCGAGCGUUUGGGUGUAAAACCCGCACGCGUAAUGAAAGUGAACGCAGGUGAGAGCUUCGGCGCAUCAUCGACCGAUCCUGAUGUUCUCGGAAGGAUUUGAGUAAGAGUUUUAACGGACGGACCCGAAAGACAGUGAACUAUGCUUGUAUAGGGUGAAGCCAGAGGAAACUCUGGUGGAGGCUCGCAGCGGUUUCUGACGUGCAAAUCGAUCGUCAAAUAAUGAGCAUGGGGGCGAAAGACUAAUCGAACUGUCUAGUAGCUGGUUACCGC
rnacentral:rRNA from 1 species